rnacentral:lncRNA from 1 species
UGUGUGUCUAUGUCGAUAUAUAUUGCUCGUGUGCUCUGGCAAUAAGGACGGCUUGAAGUAAGCAAGAUCUCGUGGAAAUCGUAGAAUCUGACCCAAAAACCUCAUUUUUGUGAGUGGGACAAGGAAACAUGAAAAGACAAAGCUUUCAGUGGAUGAAACGUCGAGUUGCAAUAAAGUAGGGAAUAGUUUUGUGUAUAAUAGUGACUGAAUUGUACAAUAAAGUGGGGAAUAGUUUAUUUAUAUAUAGAAUGACUUGUUGGCGGUCUGUAUGCGUUCAAAGCAGAAAGAAUUACUUAAGAAUAGAUAGAAUAAUGCAAUUUUUUUAUAACAAUUCCUUCUCAUAACAUCUUGCUUAAUAAAGAAAUAGAUGAAGAUGAAGAGAAUUGUAGAGCAAAUGAUGAAAAAAAAUAUAAAAGAAUGAAUUGUAAAAAGUAUUAUGAAAAGGGUUAGAUAAGAAUAUUGUCAUUGAAUACAAAUAGGAAGCUUCACCAUUGAUAGUGUAUCAUCAAGAUUCCAAAAUGAUAAUAAUCAUGUAAAAAAAGUGAGAAAAGGAAUAACAUAAAUUCUUUUUCAGGGGAAGGCGAAGGAGAUGUAUUAUGAUUAAAAUUGCUGUGAAUUAUCAAAUAAAAAAUAAUUAUUUUUUUGGUCUGUAUACCAAUUGCUUGUUAAGAUAGAAUAAUGUUGUGUCGGUUAAUCUCCUUGCUCAGUGGUUAAGCUGAAUAAGAAUUAUUUUAAUGAUAGUGCAUAAAAUUUUAUUACUAUGUCUGAUUAACAAGGGAAACUGCAAC